rnacentral:rRNA from 1 species
GACGAACGCUGGCGGCGUGCUUAACACAUGCAAGUCGAACGGAAAGGCCCUGCUUGCAGGGUACUCGAGUGGCGAACGGGUGAGUAACACGUGGGUGAUCUGCCCUGCACUUCGGGAUAAGCCUGGGAAACUGGGUCUAAUACCGGAUAGGAGCCAUUUUUAGUGUGAUGGUUGGUAAGUUUUUUCGGUGUAGGAUGAGCUCGCGGCCUAUCAGCUUGUUGGUGGGGUAAUGGCCUACCAAGGCGGCGACGGGUAGCCGGCCUGAGAGGGUGGACGGCCACAGUGGGACUGAGAUACGGCCCAGACUCCUACGGGAGGCAGCAGUGGGGAAUAUUGCACAAUGGGCGCAAGCCUGAUGCAGCGACGCCGCGUGGGGGAUGACGGCCUUCGGGUUGGAAACUCCUUUCGCUAGGGACGAAGCUUUUUGUGACGGUACCUAGAUAAGAAGCACCGGCUAACUACGUG